UUUCUUUCACAGAGACAAUUUCAUAGUCGAUGAAGUUUUACUGAGACGUGAUUAUUGCUGGUUGAAAACUUUCCCCAAUACACCACCUAGAUGACUUGAAAUACAGUCAGCUGUGGCAAUUUUUGUUAGUCUCUGGAGG